GACGAACGCUGGCGGCGUGCUUAACACAUGCAAGUCGAGCGAUGAAGCUCUUUCGGGAGUGGAUUAGCGGCGGACGGGUGAGCAACACGUGGGUAACCUGCCUCAUAGAGGGGAAUAGCCUUCCGAAAGGAAGAUUAAUACCGCAUAUGGGAGCUUUAUCGCAUGAUAGUGCUAUUAAAGGAGCAAUCCGCUAUGAGAUGGACCCGCGUCGCAUUGGCUAGUUGGUGAGGUAACGGCUCACCAAGGCGACGAUGCGUAGCCGACCUGAGAGGGUGAUCGGCCACAUUGGGACUGAGACACGGCCCAGACUCCUACGGGAGGCAGCAGUGGGGAAUAUUGCACAAUGGGGGAAACCCUGAUGCAGCAACGCCGCGUGAGUGAUGACGGUCUUCGGAUUGUAAAGCUCUGUCUUCAGGGACGAUAAUGACGGUACCUGAGGAGGAAGCCACGGCUAACUACGUGCCAGCCGCCGCCGUAA
rnacentral:rRNA from 1 species